AUAUAUCUCUUUGCUUUAGGCAUUAGAAUGUGUAGAAAUUGCAAUUUUGCAAAGUGAAAAACCUCCUCGACGUUGCUUCUACAAACUUCCUAUUUCCUAAAUCGUUGAUGCUGGAGGUGAUUGUUCCGGCUUAAAUUGUCUAUUGCUGCGAAGGUCCACUGUGUCCAAUUACAGCGGGUUCACGGAGCACUUGGAAAAAGCAAUCAAUGUUGGUGAACCGCAAAGGUAUUUUGCUGCGCGAUAAUGCAAUCCCGUAUUUCGUUUUUGUGAUCUGUGUCAAGCUUCAAACUUACGAAUAGGAACUUCUUAUAUAUCUUCCGUAUUCUCUUGACGUUAGUUCUUUGCGCUAUUAUCUCUUUUUAGACUUUAAUAAUCUGCAAACUCUACAGUUCAAAAACAGGAAUAAUGAAAAUACUGUGAGAAUAUUCAGGAGGGGUCGCGAGAUAGACGUUUGUAGACCUAGCUUUGUCUCAAAGGCGACCGGAAAGUCAGUGACGCCGUUCUUUGGGGAUCAAGAAAUUCCCGGGUGUCUCCAAGGCGACCACCGUAGAUGGACACUUUUACUCGACGUAAGUUGGCUUGUUUCUGGAAAACAAGCUCGUAAAUAUAUCCUAGGAGUAGGCUCUCUAUGCCAGUAAGCAGUCGACAGUAUCGAUAUCCUCCUAGGAAUAACGACCGGGGUAAUGAUAUUCUACUUCCUCUCAAGGGCACCUUUGUAAUAUGAUUUCACCCCGAUAAUUCAACGAAUCUUGCCCCGACAGGUAGAUCCUUGAUCAAAUUUAUAUAACUUUCUCCAACCUAUUCUCGUUUUAUUUCUGCCACCAGUAUAUUGGAACAGAAAUAUAGUGCAGGAAAUUUAGUUUUUGUAUAAAUUGAUAUCUAUGUGUUUAUCUAUAAGGAAUGUAAUUUUGUAAAAAUAUAUAUAUGACGAU
rnacentral:misc_RNA from 1 species